UAUCACAACAGAGCCAUGCUAUAAAAGGAACAGCUGACAGAGAACCUGCACAGACAAGGAUGGACCAUCAUUUGCAGAAAAAACAACAACAUCUGAAGCAGCUGAUUAAACACAAGCUGACUUUUUGGCAGGUGCUGCAACGGCUCUGAAUGACAAUCACCCAGUUGACUUAAACACUGGCCUUUGUCAUCUGUUGAUCAGAGCUCAACCAUCUGUAGACUUUGAAACAUUUUUAGAAAAACUUAAUUGAGGAGUCUUUCAUUAAAAAUGGCCUUAAGAACAAAAAGAAUAAACAUAAAACUACCUCCUCAUUUGAUAAACUUACUACAAACACUAAGUGAAAAGGGGCGCUUGUUCUUGAAACAGUAUGAAAGUAAAGAGGAAAGAAUGCAAGCCAUUGCAAGUGAGCUUGGGAAGAUAUCUAAAAAAGUAAACGAGCUGCAGAAAGGCGCAAACAUAAUGAGACUGAUGGGGGCAUCAUGUGGAGGAUUUGGAAUAAUGGUGGGCGUAGGUGCAGCUUUCUUAUUAGCAGUGUCUUCAACUGGUGACAGAGCUGCACAGAUGGCAGCACUAGGAUUUACUGCAGCAGUUGGUGGAGGUGCAAGUGUUAUUACAGCAAAUGUAUUCAAAGCACUGGAAGAGAGAAUAAGUACAGAAACUGUGGAAUGGAUAGGGGGAGAAUUCAUGCAAAUCGUUGAAGAGCUAAAAGGUGUCCUGGAAGAAAUAAAGAAGGUGUCUGAGGAGUUGGAGGAAAAAUCUUCCUCAUUGAUAACAAAAACUGGAGCACAGGCAAAAAGCAGCCUGUUGAACACAAACCAGCUUGAGAACAUUCUUGUGCAAACAGCUGAAGUGGCAGAAAGGAGCAGGCAAGCUCUAGAAGCCUCUCUAACCAUGCAGGGAGGAGUGAAGGACCUGCUAAACCUGAUCACCCAAAUCAUUCCAACACCUGAGGAUGCAGAGCUAAGAAACAGUAUCACAGGUUCAGCCUCGCAGUGUGAAAAAACUGUGAAAGAGUUUGCAAAGAUGAAGGAGACGCUCAAGGACUUUGAAGAAAUGCAAAAAGAAUAGGACUGUGUACCAUCGUUGAAAUGAAGGACUUGUAUAUAUCAGCAGCAGAGUUUAUGGGUUUGACACAGCAUCAGUUGAGUCAGACUUAAACUGAAAUCAUACAUAAUGGUCAAAGAUAAUGUGAGUGAAAUCUUCCCUUUUGGUUUUGAAGUGAUUUAAUAAAGUGUAUGUGCAGACAAACACCUGUUAUUCAGUUCAUGUAUUUACCACACGCAUCAGGCACUUUGUUUUCUGUAUCUCCUUUUAGAUAUGGCAAUGAGUGGAAACUUACUUAGCAAGUUUUCUGCUUAUUAGAGAGCUCUAAUUAUUGUAUAUAUUUGUAUUUGUAUUUAGUAUACUGUUAACCAUUGUUCAUAGUGUUUGUGUUGUGUUUUUCUUUGCUUUUUAUUAAAGUUUAAACAUGUUUCUUCAUCUAUAGGGUAAAAUACAUAA